rnacentral:tRNA from 1 species
GCCGUCGUGGCCCAGGUGGUAAGGGCGCCGCUCUGAUACAGCGGAGGCAGCGAGUUCGACUCUCGCCGACGGUA